UACGGAGGGUGCAAGCGUUGUCCGGAUUCAUUGGGCUUAAAGGGUGCGCAGGCGGGACAUUAAGUCAGGGGUGAAAGACGGUUGCUCAACAAUCGCAGUGCCUUUGAUACUGGUGUUCUUGGGUGACGGUGAGGUAGGCGGAAUGGGUGGUGUAGCGGUGAAAUGCAUAGAUACCACCCAGAACUCCGAUUGCGAAGGCAGCCUACUGGUCGUUAACCGACGCUCAGGCACGAAAGCGUGGGGAUCAAACAGG
rnacentral:rRNA from 1 species